GGACAGAAACAAUACUACAGGCCAGUACUGAAGAACCAGGAGCCAGACCAAAGAGGCAGCAACUUCUCAACCCCGAUAAACUGAGAAGGGCAGCAAUGAGGAGGCGAAAGAGUUGGAAAAAAGACAGACAUCAAUCACUGGGAAACAUUGAUCAUGAUCUCGCCAGAGCUUUGCAUGGACAGGAAGAGCCCAGAUGGUGAUGCAGCUGGGGGAGUAGAAGCACUGCAGAGACUCCAGGGCUAUUCUGAUGGCCCCAUCUUACCAAAUGUUGGAGCAGCUGGCUCCAACCUUCAUGAGUUCCAGCAACGCAUCAGAUGACUGGUCCAGCCAGGUCUCCAGCAGCACGAGCAUGGUGACAGUGGGAUGUUGGCUGCAGUAGGA